UAAAAAAUAUUCAGCAGUUUCUCGCAUUUUCUUUUUUAUAUUAUACUGGUAAGGGUUGUAUUGUGUUUUGAUUUCACUGUUUCUUUUGGUCAUAUUUGAUAGGGAGAGCCAGCCGUUGAGGUUACAAAUGAAGGUGUUGAUGCUGCAGGGCAUACAAUUGGUACAUCUUUGGAGGUCGUGUUCAAACUUAGGAAGGUUCUCAACCCCAAGAGUGUGAUCAAACCAACAUCACUAGCUAAAGAUUAUUUUGAGAAUAACAUCUAUCGAAUAAAUUUCAGACGAAAGACCUUGGUAAACUCCUAUAUUUUUUGGGUAUUGAGGUAGUCCAAUCUAAAGAUGAUAUGGUAAUUUCUCCGGGGAAAUAUGCUAUGGA